rnacentral:rRNA from 1 species
AUUGAACGCUGGCGGCAGGCCUAACACAUGCAAGUCGAGCGAGCGGCGGACGGGUGAGUGAUGUCUGGGAAACUGCCUGAUGUGGGGGGGUAACUCCUGGAAACGGUGGCUAAUACCGCAUACCCUCAGAUGUGCCCCGAUGGGGUUAGCUAGUGGGUGGGGUAACGGCUCACCUAGGCGAGGAUCCCUAGCUGGUCUGAGAGGAUGACCAGCCACACUGGAACUGAGACACGGUCCAGACUCCUACGGGAGGCAGCAGUGGGGAAUAUUGCACAAUGGGCGCAAGCCUGAUGCAGCCAUGCCGCGUGUGUGAAGAAGGCCUUCGGGUUGUAAAGCACUUUCAGCGGGGAGGCGUUACCCGCAGAAGAAGCACCGGCUAACUCCGUGCCAGCAGCCGCGGUAAUAC